GUUGGGAGGGACUUGGUGGGCCCUGCGCUAGCUGCUGUCUGCCCUCUGUUGUCCAGUUGAGGUCCCCACAAACCUCUCUGAAAGACCGCAGGCACUGUCCCUGGUCUGAGGGUGAGUCUCUCGCCCCCUCUCCCGCCCUGUCAGACUUGAGAGGCCAUGAACCAGGCCUGAGGGGAGAGGCAGCCCGGCCAGCCCCGUCUCACUGGUGCGGGCUCUGGCUCCAGAAAGACUGUGGAAGGGGAGGCCCCUGGGCGCCCCGGCACUAUGUCUGACUAGGUAAACUCUGUUCACCGGACACCUUUCAAUGCCCAUCUGUUCUGACUUCUCAGCAGCCUUUGGAAACUCUCCCUCCCCUGGGUUUUCGUCACAGCAGGUAAGCUCCUGCCCUGAGCUAACAUCGAUACCCAUCUUCCUCUACUUUAUACAUGGGACGCCUACCACAGCAUGGCUUGCCAAGGGGUGCCAUGUCCGCACCAGGGAUCCGAACCGGCGAACCCCGGGCCACCAAGAAGCGGAACGUGAGCACUUAACCACUGCGCCACCGGGCCGGCCCCCAGGUUCUUCAACAGAUAAACUGUAAAGGAAAGAAAGGGGUAGAGGAGACCUUUUAGAUUAGAAGAGACUUAAAAGUUACGUCAAACUAAAAAAACCAAACAGACUGAAAACUAGUGCAUAGGGAGGCACAUGUGGGUGAUAAAACAAUAAAGAAACUCAAGGAAGUGAUUACUGUAAAG
rnacentral:lncRNA from 1 species